UACGAAGGGGGCUAGCGUUGCUCGGAAUCACUGGGCUUAAAGGGUGCGUAGGCGGGCUGUCAAGUCGUGGGGUGAAAUCCCGCGGCUCAACCGUGGAACUGCCUCAGAUACUGACGGUCUCGAGGGAGGUAGGGGCGAGCGGAACUGAAUGGUGGAGCGGUGAAAUGCGUUGAUAUCAUCAGGAACUCCGGUGGCGAAGGCGGCUCGCUGGACCGUCUUCUG
rnacentral:rRNA from 1 species